rnacentral:rRNA from 1 species
GUGCAGCAGUCGCGAAUUUUUCUCAAUGGGGGAAACCCUGAAGGAGCGACGCCGCGUGGAGGAUGAAGGCUUUCGGGUUGUAAACUCCUGUCAUUUGAGAACAAGUGGGGACGCAGUAACUACGCGUCCCUUGAUAGUAUCAGAAGAGAAAGAGACGGCUAACUCUGUGCCAGCAGCCGCGGUAAUACAGAGGUCUCAAGCGUUGUUCGGAUUCAUUGGGCGUAAAGGGUGCGUAGGUGGCGCGCUAAGUCAGGUGUGAAAUCUCGGGGCUUAACUCCGAAACUGCAUUUGAUACUGGCGUGCUUGAGGACUGGAGAGGAGACUGGAAUUCAUGGUGUAGCAGUGAAAUGCGUAGAGAUCAUGAGGAAGACCAGUGGCGAAGGCGGGUCUCUGGACAGUUCCUGACACUGAGGCACGAAGGCCAGGGGAGCAAACGGGAUUAGAUACCCCCGUAGU